rnacentral:rRNA from 1 species
CGUUCUGUAAGCCUGUGAAGGUGUACUGUGAGGUAUGCUGGAGGUAUCAGAAGUGCGAAUGCUGACAUAAGUAACGAUAAAGCGGGUGAAAAGCCCGCUCGCCGGAAGACCAAGGGUUCCUGUCCAACGUUAAUCGGGGCAGGGUGAGUCGACCCCUAAGGCGAGGCCGAAAGGCGUAGUCGAUGGGAAACAGGUUAAUAUUCCUGUACUUGGUGUUACUGCGAAGGGGGGACGGAGAAGGCUAUGUUGGCCGGGCGACGGUUGUCCCGGUUUAAGCGUGUAGGCUGGUUUUCCAGGCAAAUCCGGAAAAUCAAGGCUGAGGCGUGAUGACGAGGCACUACGGUGCUGAAGCAACAAAUGCCCUGCUUCCAGGAAAAGCCUCUAAGCAUCAGGUAACAUCAAAUCGUACCCCAAACCGACACAGGUGGUCAGGUAGAGAAUACCAAGGCGCUUGAGAGAACUCGGGUGAAGGAACUAGGCAAAAUGGUGCCGUAACUUCGGGAGAAGGCACGC